GACGAACGCUGGCGGCGUGCCUAAUACAUGCAAGUAGAACGCAGUUGCGAACGGGUGAGUAACGCGUAGGUAACUGCCUCAUAGCGGGGGAUAACUAUUGGAAAAGAUAGCUAAUACCGCAUACUGUGAGAUGGACGUGCGGUGUAUUAGAUAGUUGGUGAGGUAAAGGCUCACCACGGCGACUAUACAUAGCCGACCGGAGAGGGGGAGCGGCCACACUCGGACGGAGAGACGGCCCAGACGCCUACGGGAGGCAGCAGUAGGGAAUCUUCGGCAAUGGACGAAAGUCUGACCGAGCAAUGCCGCGUGAGGGAAGAAGGUUUUCGGAGCGUAAAGCUCUGUAGUUAGAGAAGCGUUAACUAACCAGAAAGGGACGGCGAACUACGGGCAAGCAGCGGCGGUAUAC
rnacentral:rRNA from 1 species